GCAGAAUUCCUGAUGGCUGAAGAGUUACAGUGUCGUCCAGAAUUAAGACCAGAUUUCUUUGGCGUGAUCGAUUUUGGUUGGAGGCAGAACUUUCGCGAAUAUCAAUGCCUUCAAUCCUGCAGGAUUUUAUUUCAAGAGAAAAGGAUUGACUUAUUUUCAACCAAACCUAAAUUUAACGAGCCUGUAUUUAAACCCCAGCAAAAAUUUGUCAAUUGCAUUACGGAGGUUUGUUUGUAUUUUUAAUAAUUUACACCAAUGAACUAACUAAUCCCAAAAAGAGAAGAGAAAUUGUGUAUGUUUGCAAGAGAAAAAUUAGGGGACUUCAAUUGAGGCAGAGCGGCG